AUGUCGGCGCGGUGCCUAAUCCUCCCUGAAUCUCCUCUGCAGAUGGAGCGAAGACGACUUCUGCGAGGCUCUUGGAUGCGGAAUAGGUGCCAUACCCACGUUGGUUCCCUUCCUCCUAGUCCCGACUCAGCCAUUUACAGGCGGCGUGACUUGGGAGAAGGUGGAUUCCUGCCCACUGAGCCACGAGAGAAGCCCACGUGUGUAUGUAUUUGCUUGUUUCGACGUUUUGGCCAAGCUGCCUGUGGGAUCAAACCACUGGACCACCAGAGGAGUCCCACACCCUUCUAAGCGCCUGGAGGAGCAGAGGGACUGACUUCAGUGAGGCAAUAGGAGUUCGGACAAAUACAACACGGUGUGGAAGCCUCAAGGAGUGGCCAGGGAGGGCUUCUCGGAAGAGGAAGCCUCUCAGCUAUGGAGCCAAAGGUUG
rnacentral:lncRNA from 1 species